rnacentral:tmRNA from 1 species
GGGGGCGACCUGGUUUCGACGUGGAUUACGAAGCUUAAGGUGCAUGUCGAGGAUGUAACUACCCUCGUAAAAAAUGUUACAAAACAAAUAGUUGCCAAUAAAAAACGCAACGUCGCUAAUGAUACUCACUUCGUAAAUGAAGAGGUAGCAAUCGCCGCCUAAAAAACGGCAUAGCGCCAUCCACCGAUUGUGCUUGUACGAUCGGAUGUAUACUGCAAAGCAUACAAGGGUGGUCAUAUGAUACAAGCUCGUGGAAUGAUCUGCCCAAGAUCAAACCAUUAAAUCAAAUGAGGGAUCGCUAUUUUGACAUCCUGCCAAUCGGAGGUGAAAUAGUUAAAUUAAAUGAUUGGAUACACAUGUAGACCCAAGAGUAGAGAAUUUGCGGACGCGGGUUCAAUUCCCGCCGCCUCCACUG